GGGUUGUGAGGUUAAGCGAACAAGCGUACACGGUGGAUGCCCUGGCAGUCAGAGGCGAUGAAGGACGUGCUAAUCUGCGAAAAGCGCCGGUAAGGUGAUAUGAACCGUUAUAACCGGCGAUGUCCGAAUGGGGAAACCCGGUGCACUUCGGUGCAUCAUCGUUAGCUGAAUACAUAGGCUAACGAGGCGAACCGGGGGAACUGAAACAUCUAAGUACCCCGAGGAAAAGAAAUCAACCGAGAUUCCCCCAGUAGCGGCGAGCGAACGGGGAACAGCCCAGAGCCUGAAUCAGCUUGUGUGUCAGUGGAACGGUCUGGAAAGGCCGGCGAUACAGGGUGACAGCCCCGUACACGAAGGCACACAGGCUGUGAGCUCGAUGAGUAGGGCGGGACACGUGAUAUCCUGUCUGAAGAUGGGGGGACCAUCCUCCAAGGCUAAAUACUCCUGACUGACCGAUAGUGAACCAGUACCGUGAGGGAAAGGCGAAAAGAACCCCGGCGAGGGGAGUGAAACAGAACCUGAAACCGUGUACGUACAAGCAGUGGGAGCCUUCGUAAGAGGGUGACUGCGUACCUUUUGUAUAAUGGGUCAGCGACUUAUAUUCUGUAGCAAGGUUAACCGUAUAGGGGAGCCGAAGGGAAACCGAGUCUUAAUUGGGCGUUAAGUUGCAGGGUAUAGACCCGAAACCCGGUGAUCUAGCCAUGGGCAGGUUGAAGGUUGGGUAACACUAACUGGAGGACCGAACCGACUAAUGUUGAAAAAUUAGCGGAUGACCUGUGGCUGGGGGUGAAAGGCCAAUCAAACCGGGAGAUAGCUGGUUCUCCCCGAAAGCUAUUUAGGUAGCGCCUCGUGAACUCAUCUCCGGGGGUAGAGCACUGUUUCGGCUAGGGGGCCAUCCCGGCUUACCAACCCGAUGCAAACUGCGAAUACCGGAGAAUGUUAUCACGGGAGACACACGGCGGGUGCUAACGUCCGUCGUGAAGAGGGAAACAACCCAGACCGCCAGCUAAGGUCCCAAAGUCAUGGUUAAGUGGGAAACGAUGUGGGAAGGCCCAGACAGCCAGGAUGUUGGCUUAGAAGCAGCCAUCAUUUAAAGAAAGCGUAAUAGCUCACUGGUCGAGUCGGCCUGCGCGGAAGAUGUAACGGGGCUAAACCAUGCACCGAAGCUGCGGCAGCGACACGUAUGUGUUGUUGGGUAGGGGAGCGUUCUGUAAGCCUGUGAAGGUGUGCUGUGAGGCAUGCUGGAGGUAUCAGAAGUGCGAAUGCUGACAUAAGUAACGAUAAAGCGGGUGAAAAGCCCGCUCGCCGGAAGACCAAGGGUUCCUGUCCAACGUUAAUCGGGGCAGGGUGAGUCGACCCCUAAGGCGAGGCCGAAAGGCGUAGUCGAUGGGAAACAGGUUAAUAUUCCUGUACUUGGUGUUACUGCGAAGGGGGGACGGAGAAGGCUAUGUCAGCCGGGCGACGGUUGUCCCGGUUUAAGCGUGUAGGCUGACUUUCCAGGCAAAUCCGGAAGGUUAAGGCUGAGGCGUGAUGACGAGGCACCACGGUGCUGAAGUGACAAAUGCCCUGCUUCCAGGAAAAGCCUCUAAGCAUCAGGUAACAUCAAAUCGUACCCCAAACCGACACAGGUGGUCAGGUAGAGAAUACCAAGGCGCUUGAGAGAACUCGGGUGAAGGAACUAGGCAAAAUGGUGCCGUAACUUCGGGAGAAGGCACGCUGACAUGUAGGUGAAGCCCCUGCGGGUGGAGCUGAAGUCAGUCGAAGAUACCAGCUGGCUGCAACUGUUUAUUAAAAACACAGCACUGUGCAAACACGAAAGUGGACGUAUACGGUGUGACGCCUGCCCGGUGCCGGAAGGUUAAUUGAUGGGGUUAUCGCAAGAGAAGCUCCUGAUCGAAGCCCCGGUAAACGGCGGCCGUAACUAUAACGGUCCUAAGGUAGCGAAAUUCCUUGUCGGGUAAGUUCCGACCUGCACGAAUGGCGUAAUGAUGGCCAGGCUGUCUCCACCCGAGACUCAGUGAAAUUGAACUCGCUGUGAAGAUGCAGUGUACCCGCGGCAAGACGGAAAGACCCCGUGAACCUUUACUACAGCUUGACACUGAACAUUGAGCCUUGAUGUGUAGGAUAGGUGGGAGGCUUUGAAGCGUGGACGCCAGUCUGCGUGGAGCCAACCUUGAAAUACCACCCUUUAAUGUUUGAUGUUCUAACCUGGCGCCGUGAUCCGGCGUGGGGACAGUGUCUGGUGGGUAGUUUGACUGGGGCGGUCUCCUCCCAAAGUGUAACGGAGGAGCACGAAGGUCAGCUAAUCCUGGUCGGACAUCAGGAGGUUAGUGCAAUGGCAUAAGCUGGCUUGACUGCGAGAGUGACGGCUCGAGCAGGUGCGAAAGCAGGUCAUAGUGAUCCGGUGGUUCUGUAUGGAAGGGCCAUCGCUCAACGGAUAAAAGGUACUCCGGGGAUAACAGGCUGAUACCGCCCAAGAGUUCAUAUCGACGGCGGUGUUUGGCACCUCGAUGUCGGCUCAUCACAUCCUGGGGCUGAAGUAGGUCCCAAGGGUAUGGCUGUUCGCCAUUUAAAGUGGUACGCGAGCUGGGUUUAGAACGUCGUGAGACAGUUCGGUCCCUAUCUGCCGUGGGCGCUGGAGAAUUGAGGGGGGCUGCUCCCAGUACGAGAGGACCGGAGUGGACGCAUCACUGGUGUUCGGGUUGUCAUGCCAAUGGCACUGCCCGGUAGCUAAAUGCGGAAGAGAUAAGUGCUGAAAGCAUCUAAGCACGAAACUUGCCCCGAGAUGAGUUCUCCCUGAGACUUUAAGUCUCCUGAAGGAACGUUGAAGACGACGACGUUGAUAGGCCGGGUGUGUAAGCGCAGCGAUGCGUUGAGCUAACCGGUACUAAUGAACCGUGAGGCUUAACCUUACAACGCCAAAGAAGU
rnacentral:rRNA from 1 species